rnacentral:rRNA from 1 species
UAACCGAUUAAUUUUAUACUUCUAUACGCCUUUAGGAAAAGUUUCUACAAAGCUUAGUCCCUCUUUCAACGCAAAAUUUUUCACAACCGCAAUGGUACUUUUUAUUAAAAAAAAGAUAGUAUGAAUCACUCUACCUUUUGCAUCAUGUAGUUGCAACACCACCACACUUACCAGUGAUUAUCCCGAAAAGCGAAGAGCUACUAUUAGCACCUUACUAGCGUAACACUGCUUUAAUCAGCUAAUAGUAGAGGCAAAAUACCUUACGAGUCACCUGAUAGCUGGCUGUUCCUUAAAAGCAUUUAAGUGCUAGUCAGUAAUUUACAACACAACUUCCAACCUUACUGAACCAAUACCAGUAAGGACUAGCUUGCUGGUAACUUAUGAAAUAUGUUAAACAAACCCACUGCUAAUAGGCUCAAAAACAGUCAAUACACUCCGUUAUAGGAAACAACACCUCAAAACCCCUACUAAGCACAUAAUUCUGAUAUCAAAAGGAACCUUACUGAAAAACAAACACCGAAAUGAACCGGCAACUAUUAGUAUUUCUUACAGAUUUGAACAAUACCCCAUGUACUAAACAUUUCUAUCCCACCAAACUGUAGUACACAACCAUUAAUAAUGAACUCGGCAAAGACUUUCUUCGCCUGUUUACCAAAAACAUCGUUCCGUGAUCAACUUACAUAAGGAAUACCGCCUGCCCAAUGAUUCAUAAUUAAAUGGCCGCGUUAGCGUGAGCGUGCUAAGGUAGCGUAAUAAACAGCUCUUUAAUUGGGAGCCAGUCAAUGGCAAAACGAAGAAAACCUAUAUUAUUAAUGUCAAAAGAAUUUUUCUUUUGAGUGAAAAGACUCAAAUGCAAGAGAUAGACAAAAAGACCCCGCGGAACUCUCCCACACAUAGCAGCAUAUUAAUCAUUGCCAAAAUCUAAGGGUUGGUUGGGGCAACCACGGAGCAAUCAAAACCUCCAAAUAACCAAACAGACAUAUUCAUAACUCUGCUAAGGACCAUAAAGAAGUUACCCCGGGGAUAACAGCGUAAUCUAACUUGAGAGUACACAUCGAAAGUUGGGUUUGCGACCUCGAUGUUGGCUUAGGGAAAACAACUUGGCGCAGCCACUAAGUAUAUUGUCAGUCUGUUCGACUGCAAACCCCCUACAUGAGCUGAGUUAAGACCGGCGAGAGCUAGGUUGGAUUCUAUCUUCUCCUUUUUCCUACACUCUUUAUUGUACGAAAGGACCUAAAGAGAUGCAUCUACUAAUUGCAACAUUUUAAUCACAACAUUCUUACACUAAUCCCAUAUGUCUUC